rnacentral:rRNA from 1 species
GCCUACGGGGGGCAGCAGUCGAGAAUCAUUCCCAAUGGGGGAAACCCUGAUGGUGCGGCGCCGCGUGGGGGAAUGAAGGUCUUCGGAUUGUAAACCCCUGUCAUGUGGGAGCAAAUUAAAAAGAUAGUACCACAAGAGGAAGAGACGGCUAACUCUGUGCCAGCAGCCGCGGUAAUACAGAGGUCUCAAGCGUUGUUCGGAAUCACUGGGCGUAAAGCGUGCGUAGGCUGUUUCGUAAGUCGUGUGUGAAAGGCGCGGGCUCAACCCGCGGACGGCACAUGAUACUGCGAGACUAGAGUAAUGGG